GACGAACGCUGGCGGCGUGCUUAACACAUGCAAGUCGAACGGAAAGGCCAUGCUUUUGUGGGGUGCUCGAGUGGCGAACGGGUGAGUAACACGUGAGUAACAUGCCCUUGACUUUGGGAUAACUUCAGGAAACUGGGGCUAAUACCGGAUAGGAGCUCCUGCUGCAUGGUGGGGGUUGGAAAGUUUCGGCGGUUGGGGAUGGACUCGCGGCUUAUCAGCUUGUUGGUGGGGUAGUGGCUUACCAAGGCUUUGACGGGUAGCCGGCCUGAGAGGGUGACCGGCCACAUUGGGACUGAGAUACGGCCCAGACGCCUACGGGAGGCAGCAGUGGGGAAUAUUGCACAAUGGGCGGAAGCCUGAUGCAGCAACGCCGCGUGCGGGAUGACGGCCUUUGGGUUGUAAACCGCUUUCGCCUGUGACGAAGCGUGAGUGACGGUAAUGGGUAAAGAAGCACCGGCUAACUACGUG
rnacentral:rRNA from 1 species